rnacentral:lncRNA from 1 species
CUUGUUCUCGAGCCCAAUGUCUUCCAAAUUUAAUUAUUGCUAAACUGCUUCAGACCGGACUCGACAAGACCAAAAACAAGACCGGGACUUAAUAAAAAAAGUUAAUCAAAGCUUUUUCUCAUACAAAAAUAAUUAUCUAAUCAGGACCAAAACCUAUUUAAUUAUAGCCUUAGCUUGAUUACAACUCCAUCAGGUUACUAAACCGGGUCAACCCAAUCCCCUGUUUUCAUGAAAGAUCGCAACCAGGAGAGAGACGAGUUCAGAAUCUAUUUUAAGAAAAGAAUUAUUUACUUAUUACCAUAUUUUAAAUUUAUUUCAAUGUUUAUUCAAUUUCAUGGUAAAAUAUGUAUUUAUUAGUUUAAGAACAUUGAUAAGUGCUAUGGAAAGAUAGCUAAAUUAUGAAUUAUUAAGCACUUAUCA